UUCUGUUUUGCUCAUGCUGCCUCCCUUAUCGC
rnacentral:scRNA from 1 species